UGUCCUCUACCCCUCCACCCCUCUCCAGAGCCCCGCUGCCAACCUUGGGCCACAGUGGGGACCCCGCGGGGCUGAAGGAAUCCUCCCGGGGAGAUAAGCCCGGCCUCGGACCCUGGGACCCGGACGCCCUGGAGGAGGGAAGGAGGAGGGGGCCAAGCGCUCCUCACAGACCCUGCGGGUCCGCGGCUCAAGGCUAUUGCAAUGUUUCGGAGGCUCCUGUGAAUGAAGAGACUGGGUCCAUGCACAAAGGUGUGGAGCAGAGCCCAGCCACCCCACGUUGGACAAGGGGACAUGGCUUCUGUAUUCCUCGGCUCGUGGUCCCUUCCUCCAUCCUCGGAGCUGGCAAUGGCACCACCUCCACACCCCCUUCUGAACCUCGUGCCUCCCUCUUUCACUUAUAAGGACCCUGGUGAUUACAUUGGGUCCACUUGGAUAAUCCAGGAUGAUCUUCUCAACUGAAAAUCCUUAAUCCUUCAUCACAUCUGCAAGGUUCCUUUCGCCAGGAAAGAUAAUCCAUUGCCAGGUUCCAGGGAUUAGGACAUGGGCAUUUUUGGGGGGCCAUGAUUUUGCCUAGCACAGAGGGCAAGUUGGAAAUUGGCUCUCAAGCCUCAGAGACUCUUUACAUCCCUCCCAGUCUCCCCAGCUAUGUGCUGAUCUCAUCUUUCUUUCCCUCUUUUUCUCAUUUAUUUCUGGCCCUACAGUUCAUUUUUCUAAAAAAAAGAUUUUAUUUAUUUAUUUGAGAGAAAGAGCACAAGCCGGGGAGAAGCAGAGACAGAAUCUCAAGCAGACUCUGCACUGAGCGCGGGACCCAAUGCGGGGCUUGAUCCCACAACCCAUGAGAUCAUGACCUGAGCUAAAACCAAGAGCCAGAUGUUCAUCCCACUAAGCCACCUAGGCGCCCCUACAGCUAAUUUUAAAACAGAUACAUCAGCUAGAGGCAUUUGCUCCAAAUUCCCUAAUCCUUAUGAAUGGUGGUCCAGAUCAAGGUCCCCUUUGAUUCCCAAAUGAGCUUGAUCAGACAUGGUCUCUGGGUGGACCCUAGUCUAGAAGAGCACAGUCCAAGAGAAAUUGAAUGUGAGCUACCACAAUGUAAGUCACAUAUGUGAUUUCAAAAUUUCUAGGAGUCUCAUAAAAAAAGGUAAAAAGAAAUAAAUAGAAUUAAUGUUAUUUUAUUUAUUUAUUUAUUUAUUUAUAAAGAUUUUUAUUUAUUUAUUUGACAGAGAGAGACACAGCGAGAGAGGGAACACAAGCAGGGGGAGUGGGAGAGGGAGAAGCAGGCUCUCCGCUGAGCAAGGAGCCCGAUGCGGGGCUCGAUCCCAGGACCCUGGGAUCAUGACCUGAGCCAAAGGCAGACGCUUAACCGACUGAG